rnacentral:tRNA from 1 species
GGGUGGUUAGCUCAGCAGGUAGAGCGGCAGUCUGUUAAGCUGCGUGUCGCCGGUUCAAGUCCAGCACUGCCCUCCA